CCCUUAGAUGUUCUGGGCCGCACGCGCGCUACACUGAUGAAUUCAACGAGCCUAGCCUUGUCCGAAAGGUCCGGGUAAUCUCUGAAACUUCAUCGUGAUGGGGAUAGACUUUUGCAAUUUUUGGUCUUCAACGAGGAAUUCCUAGUAAACGCAAGUCAUCAACUUGCAUUGAUUACGUCCCUGCCCUUUGUACACACCGCCCGUCGCACCUACCGAUUGAAUGGUCCGGUGAAGCCUCCGGAUUGGCGCGCACCUCGGUGCCGCCGAGAAGUUGGCUAAACCUUACCAUUUAGAGGAAGGUGAAGUCGUAACA
rnacentral:rRNA from 1 species